GAUGAACGCUGGCGGCGUGCUUAACACAUGCAAGUCGAACGGAAAGGCUCCUGCUUGCAGGGGUACUCGAGUGGCGAACGGGUGAGUAACACGUGGGUGAUCUGCCCUGCACUUCGGGAUAAGCCUGGGAAACUGGGUCUAAUACCGGAUAGGACGAUGGUUUGGAUGCCAUUGUGGAAAGUUUUUCGGUGUGGGAUGAGCUCGCGGCCUAUCAGCUUGUUGGUGGGGUGAUGGCCUACCAAGGCGUCGACGGGUAGCCGGCCUGAGAGGGUGUACGGCCACAUUGGGACUGAGAUACGGCCCAGACUCCUACGGGAGGCAGCAGUGGGGAAUAUUGCACAAUGGGCGCAAGCCUGAUGCAGCGACGCCGCGUGGGGGAUGACGGCCUUCGGGUUGUAAACUCCUUUCGCUAGGGACGAAGCGCAAGUGACGGUACCUGGAGAAGAAGCACCGGCUAACUACGUG
rnacentral:rRNA from 1 species